rnacentral:lncRNA from 1 species
CAUGGAAGCACGCGUGCAUCUCGUCGAUCCAGACCGACCGACUGCCGGCCCGUCCCUCCCUCCUAGACGACACCUAACUGGACGGCGGCGCGCGCGCUCCGGAAACCCUGCGCUGCUCUGCUCUGCUCCCGGAAGGAGAAGGUGGGGAUUUGAAAUGGGCGUGCGCAGAGCAGAGAGGGGUGGGGGGCGGCACGGGAUUAACGCAAGGACGAACGCGCGUGUCCAUCUGAUCCGGGGCAGCAGAGGCGCAUGCACUUAAUGCGGAUUGCCGAGAGUUAAGGC